rnacentral:rRNA from 1 species
AUGUACCCUUUGGCUUGGGCAGUUGUUGAAAAAGAGAACAAUGAUAGUUGGGACUGGUUUUGUUCUUUACUUUUCAGAGAUGUGACUGUGCUAGAUGGUGAAGGUUGGGUGAUUAUAUCGGAUCAACAGAAG